ACUAUCCCUUUAACCAUAUCUGAACCUAAUUAGAGAGCUGGAGAACUGUACAUCUCGUCCAAUGCAGACCAAACCCUCCCCCUUCGGUCCUUCACGGGACACCAGGAAGCUUCUGAACAGCUGCUUAGACACUUGUCUGCACUGAGUUACUGCAAGGCACUUGUUUCUACUGUGUACCAUCUCACAGCCAUCAGGCCUUUUAUCAGCCCUGACCUGUGGGUGUAAAGUCCUCUCUAAUGCGUGACUGCGGAGGACUGCUCUACUGUCCAAAUGUCUGCUCCAGCUGCCACACACACUGGCAAACACACACUCAUGCAUAUGAUGGCUGAGUUGCUGCUGUCCUGUCCUGCACUGUAUUUAAUCAUUAGAUUCAGACUUGGUGUGUAUGAAUAUAAAAUGUUAUUUUCCUGCAGAACAACGGUUUGAAUUGGUUGGAUUAUCCGUCUGAUCAAAAUAAAUUGUCACCAUUUGCUACAACAUUUUUGUCUAGCUUGUGCUUGCGAAGUAAAUAACAAAGAGGUACCAGCUACUAACAGAUGUCAGACUUUUGCACUGUUAUGAAAUUAACGGGCUCCAUAUAAGCCAUGGUUACAUUUGUCACAUUAACAAUAUAAACAGUCAAACAAUAAGGCAUUAUGCUGUCUAUCAUGUGCAACAGUUUUGAUU